rnacentral:sRNA from 1 species
GCUGGGUUGUGGUGGCGUACACCUGUAAUCCCAGCUUCUCAGGAGGCUGAGGCAGGAGAACCUCGAGUUCAAAGCCAGAAUCAGCAACUUAGCGAGGCCCUAAGGAACUCAGCAAGCCCCUGUCUCUA